rnacentral:rRNA from 1 species
GAUGAACGCUGGCGGCGUGCCUAAUACAUGCAAGUCGAGCGAACAGACGAGGAGCUUGCUCCUCUGACGUUAGCGGCGGACGGGUGAGUACCACGUGGAUAACCUAUCUAUAAGACUGGGAUAACUUCUUGAAACCGGAGCUAAUAACGGUCAAUCUUUUGAAACGCCUUGUUCAUUAGUGUAAGACGGUUUUGCUGUCACUUAUUGAUGGAUCAGCUCUGCUUUAGCUAGUUGGUAAGGUAACGGACUUCCAAGGCAACGAUGCGUAGCCGCCCUGAGAGGGAGAGCGGCCGCACCGGAACUGAGACACGGUCCAGACUCCUACGGGAGGCAGCAGUAGGGAAUCUUGCGCAAUUGGCGAAAGCCUGACAGAGCAACGCCGCGUGAGUGAUGAAGGUCUUCGGAUCGUAAAACUCUGUUAUUAGGGAAGAACAAAUGUGUAAGUAACUAUGCACGUCUUGACGGUACCUAAUCAGAAAGCCACGGCUAACUACGUG